rnacentral:rRNA from 1 species
UACGUAGGGUGCGAGCGUUAAUCGGAAUUACUGGGCGUAAAGCGUGCGCAGGCGGUGGCUCAAGCCAGGCGUGAAAUCCCCGGGCUUAACCUGGGAAUGGCGAUGGAGACUGCGAGGCUAGAGUUUGGCAGAGGGGGGGUAGAAUUCCACGUGUAGCAGUGAAAUGCGUAGAGAUGUGGAGGAACACCGAUGGCGAAGGCAGCCCCCCUGGGUCAAAAACUGACGCUCAUGCACGAAAAGCGUGGGGGAGCAAACAGG